AUCACGCGAGAACACGCGAGACAAUCGGUUUUUUCUCUCAACUGGACUAACGUGAUUGAAUGACGUUAUCUCAACUUGAAUACAUCUAAUUCCUCAAGCUCCCAGGCCUCUACCAGAGGCCUGGGAGCUUGAGGGUCCUGCGCAGUAUCUGCGAUACUAACAAUAUUCAAUAUCAAUAUUUGUCAAAGUUAAUCUAAUAAAAAAAAACACAGUGACGUCAGUUCCAAAGCGCUAUUGUGUCAGACUCAUCUCCCGCUGAAGAGGAUCCAGCGACAUCAAGAGAUUACGGAAAAUCACGCGAGAUAACUGGCUUGUUGGGUUUUUUCAAGGGCAGAGGGGAGAUUCCUGGCGUGCAUCUACUUAAUUUGAAGAAGAACAUCACCUGUCUGUAAUCCACCUGCGAAGACACUGCUGAGGUCAGACGAGAGUGCAUCCUCAAAGGUCUGUGUGUACCUAAAUGAAGAUCCAGAGAAGCUGGUGAGGGAGUACAUGGACGUUGAUGAAUGAAAUGGCCAAAGCCGAGACUGUCCUCGGAAUCGUCAUUUGAGCAGAGGGUGCAGAGGCUGCUGAUGCACAUCUGGAUGUUGGGAUUGUCCUGGAGGAGGUGGAAGUUAUGAACAGCUUGGGCAGUGUAUCUUCUGCAAUAGUGAUGCUGCUGGGACUAAUCUACGCACUAAACUUGAGCUACACUCAAGUUUAGUGCGUUCAGCACUCAACUUGCUCAGUAACUCAAGCAUACCUUUGAAGUAAUACAGAAAAUAAUAAUGAAAUUGGAUGGAAAGAACUUAUCAAAGAAAGCACAAGUUCUCAAUAUGAAACUCACUGCUAAGUUGAGUAAAGUUUCAUAUGGAAAAUGAGUGUUUAAAGUCUGCAGUAGAAAAGAUUUAUAUUGUUACAGUUCUCUAAGUUGAGCAACUAUACUGACAUGUUUUAUGUUGUAAAGAAUUGGCUGGGAAAUGAAACUGUAACCUUUUUGUAGUUGUUUUCUAUUUCAAUGUCCAACUCAGCUGUGUUUUGUGCUGUGUAAAAAAACGAUGUAUAACAAUUCUGAAAAUACAAUUGUGUUGUACCUUU